rnacentral:rRNA from 1 species
GACGAACGCUGGCGGCGUGCUUAACACAUGCAAGUCGAACGAAGAGCGAUGGAAGCUUGCUUCUAUCAAUCUUAGUGGCGAACGGGUGAGUAACGCGUAAUCAACCUGCCCUUCAGAGGGGGACAACAGUUGGAAACGACUGCUAAUACCGCAUACGAUCUAAUCUCGGCAUCGAGGAUAGAUGAAAGGUGGCCUCUACAUGUAAGCUAUCACUGAAGGAUGGGAUUGCGUCUGAUUAGCUAGUUGGAGUGGUAACGGCCCACCAAGGCGAUGAUCAGUAGACGGUCUGAGAGGAUGAACGGCCACAUUGGGACUGAGACACGGCCCAGACUCCUACGGGAGGCAGCAGUGGGGAAUCUUCCGCAAUGGACGAAAGUCUGACGGAGCAACGCCGCGUGAGUGAUGACGGCCUUCGGGUUGUAAAGCUCUGUUAAUCGGGACGAAAGGCCUUCUUGCGAAUAGUGAGAAGGAUUGACGGUACCGGAAUAGAAAGCAACGGCUAACUACGUG